AAGUCGUAACAAGGUUUCCGUAGGUGAACCUGCGGAAGGAUCAUUAACACGUAUCCAACGUAAAAAACCCCCCUGUGAACAUUCAAACCUGCUCUCGUAGCCCAGUGCGAUCCAGCAAUCCCGGUAAAUCAUUGUCGAACAGUAUUGAUUCGGGACUUCUGACAAAUGAGAAGUUACAGUUACGAUUGAGCGGAGAUAGCUGCAUGGCAUCCCGAAGCAGUCAGUGUCUGAAAGUGUCAUUGAUUGUCUAAGCCAGAGGUCGCUCACCGACCGGCAGACAUGCAACCGGGUCCCCACGCCCCUUUACAACCCCAUUACCUCUGUGAGUCGCGGGAAACUAGCGGCUAAAAAACCUCGAACAACUGUUAACAAUGGAUAUCUUGGUUCUC
rnacentral:misc_RNA from 1 species